AGUGAACGCUGGCGGUAGGCCUAACACAUGCAAGUCGAACGGCAGCACAGUAAGAGCUUGCUCUUACGGGUGGCGAGUGGCGGACGGGUGAGGAAUACAUCGGAAUCUACUUUUUCGUGGGGGAUAACGUAGGGAAACUUACGCUAAUACCGCAUACGACCUACGGGUGAAAGCAGGUGAUCUUCGGACCUUGCGCGAUUGAAUGAGCCGAUGUCGGAUUAGCUAGUUGGCGGGGUAAAGGCCCACCAAGGCGACGAUCCGUAGCUGGUCUGAGAGGAUGAUCAGCCACACUGGAACUGAGACACGGUCCAGACUCCUACGGGAGGCAGCAGUGGGGAAUAUUGGACAAAGGGCGCAAGCCUGAUCCAGCCAUACCGCGUGAGUGAAGAAGGCCUUCGGGUUGUAAAGCCCUUUUGUUGGGAAAGAAAAGCAGCAGGUUAAUACCCCGCUGUUCUGACGGUACCCAAAGAAUAAGCACCGGCUAACUUCGUG
rnacentral:rRNA from 1 species